CACGUAGGGUGCGAGCGUUGUCCGGAAUUAUUGGGCGUAAAGAGCUCGUAGGCGGUGUGUCGCGUCGGCCGUGAAAACCUGCAGCUUAACUGUGGGCUUGCGGUCGAUACGGGCAUCACUGGAGUUCGGCAGGGGAGACUGGAAUUCCUGGUGUAGCGGUGGAAAUGCGCAGAUAUCAGGAGGAACACCGGUGGCGAAGGCGGGUCUCUGGGGCAGUAACUGACGCUGGAGGAGCG
rnacentral:rRNA from 1 species